rnacentral:rRNA from 1 species
UGGGGAAUCUUGCACAAUGGGGGCAACCCUGAUGCAGCGACGCCGCGUGAGCGAUGAAGCCCUUCGGGGCGUAAAGCUCUUUCGACCGGAACGAUAAUGACGGUACCGGGAGAAGAAGCUGCGGCUAACUACGUGCCAGCAGCCGCGGUAAUACGUAGGCAGCAAGCGUUGUUCGGAGUUACUGGGCGUAAAGAGUGCGUAGGCGGUUUUCUAAGUUCGGUGUGAAAUCUCCCGGCUUAACUGGGAGGGUGCGACGGAGACUGGGAAGCUGGAGUGUGGGAAAGGCAGGCGGAAUUCCUGGUGUAGCGGUGAAAUGCGUAGAUAUCAGGAGGAACACCGGCGGUGUAGACGGCUUGCUAGACCAUAACUGACGCUGAGGCACGAAAGCGUGGGUAGCAAACA